rnacentral:rRNA from 1 species
AGACAGCAGCAGCCGCGGUAAUACGGAGGGUGCAAGCGUUAAUCGGAAUUACUGGGCGUAAAGCGCACGCAGGCGGUCUGACAAGUCAGAUGUGAAAUCCCCGGGCUUAACCUGGGAACUGCAUUUGAAACUGUCAGGCUGGAGUCUUGUAGAGGGGGGUGGAAUUCCAGGUGUAGCGGUGAAAUGCGUAGAGAUCUGGAGGAAUACCGGUGGCGAAGGCGGCCCCCUGGACAAAGACUGACGCUCAGGUGCGAAAGCGUGGGGAGCAAACAGGAUUAGAUACCCGAGUAGUCCCUGUCUCUUAUAC